GCACAGAUCGUGCCCUAGCCGGGAUUUGUGGAGGUUUUGGUUGAGAAUUAGGGUUCUGACCUCUUCUCUGUGCGUUAGCAAGAACAAGACCGAGCCCUAAUCGGGAUAUUGGAGGGGUGCUGUGGUGAUUUCAGCCAUCACAGAUUGAUUGGGUUGGUUCCC